UUUAUGACAGACCAAUAGUGAAGAGUCGUCUCUCUCAAAAGAAAGGGAAAAAAUGGCACCAAAAAAGAAACAACAGCAAAAUCAACAACCGAAGCAAACCCAGAAGAAAAAACCCUCAGCUUCAUCAUCAUCUUCAUCUUCUGCUUCAGGUCCUAAACUUCAAAUAUCAGCGGAGAAUGAACAAAGAUUACGAAGCCUUUUGCUUAACAAAUCAAACAACAACAAGUCCACCACCACUACAACUUCCACUGCUGGUGCUGGUGAAACCAUUUCCAAAGCUCAAAAAGCUAAAAGACUUCGAACCAUUUACGAAAAGCUUUCUUGCGAAGGAUUUACAUCAGACCAAAUUGAACUUUCUCUUUCUAAUAUCCAUGAUGGAGCUACAUUUGAGGAUGUACUUGAUUGGCUUUGCUUAAAUCUUCCGGGAAAUGAGUUGCCGUUAAAGUUUUCGACUGGUACUUCUAUCAGCAAUGAAGGGUUAGGAGGAUCGGUGAGUAUUUUAUCUGGUUCUAGGGAUGAUUGGGUUCCUUCAUCUAAUCAAUCUAGAGUGAUUGAUGAACCAAUGGAUGGAGUUGCAAUUAGAACUAAAGGGAAUGUUGAUGACAAGACUUUGGAUUUGCGGCAACCGUCUCAAGCUGAUUGGAUUCGACAGUACAUGGAGCAACAGGAAGAGGAAGAGGAUGAUUGGGAAAGUAGGACAGACGAUUACAAUCCUAAUCAUUACAUUGCCAAAGAUUCUCCCAAAGAGACCUCUGAUCCCAGCUUACGUGCUAUUUCAAUUGCAAAAGAGUACCACAUUGCAAGGUUAGAAGCUGCAGAAGCCAAAGAGAAAAAGGAUAAGAAAAGUCAGGAACGGGCAGGCAAUAUAAUUCGCAAGCUUAAGCAGGAGAUGUCUGCUCUAGGCCUGUCUGAUGACAUUCUGGAUUCAGGGAUGGAAAAUGAAGUUGCAUCUGUUGAUGUUUCCCAAGAUACCGUUUGUGAAUUCAAGGCUACCAGUGACCCUGACACCAAAAAAUUAUGCGAUGGGGAAAAUAUGCCAGAUUUCUUCAGCGAUCAUGUUGUGCUUCCAGUUAAUGAAGAUGGUAUGGACCAUAGCUGCUCUAAAGAAUGGGAUCGUGCUACUGAUCAUGUACCAGUCCAGGAAAUUAUUUCUAAGCAAGACGAGGAGGCAGAGGUAGAGCUUGGUGAUUUAUUCUGCGAAGAAACCUCUGCAAGCGCAAGUUUACCUCCAGAAGUUUUGAGUUCCCAAAAGAAAGAAAAGGCGGCACUAUUCUCUGGUGGUUACUUUUCAUCCAAGAUUGAUGAAAUAUGGAAAAAGGGGGAUCCACCAAAGCUUCCAAAGGCGGUCCUUCAUCAGCUCUGUCAAAGGUUAGGAUGGGACGCACCGAAGUUCAAAAAGUUGACUGGAAAAGUAGGUAGAUACAGCUACGCUGCCAGUGUAUUGCGUACUGCUAGUGGUCGGGGUAAGAGCAGAAAAGCUGGAGGUUUGAUUACCCUUCAGCUUCCUGACCCAGAAGAAUCAUUUGAAUCAGCUGAGGACGCACAAAAUAGAGUUGCUACAUUUGUACUACAUCAGUUAUUUCCAGAACUUCCUAUUCACAAUCUAGUUACAGAGCCAUACUCCUCGUUUGUUAGAAGAUUUGAGGAAGGAGAAUCGUUCACCAGAAUAGAAGAUAGUAUGGAAUCUAGAAGAGCUAAUUUUGUGGAUUCAUUGCUGAGUGCCGAGAGUCCUGGAUCAAAUGCUUUUGUGGAUACCACGAACAUUUUUGAAGAAAAACUUGAAGAAUCACAUGUUCAAGAAGAUCUGGAGUCAAAAACAAAGAAAACAAAUAACUACAAGGAAAAAGACAGUGCUUAUUUGAGACAAGAGCAAGUGAAGAAAUCAAAGACACAGAGAUAUAAGGACAUGUUAAAAGCCAGAGCUUCUCUUCCGAUAGCAGAGUUGAAGGGGGAUAUGUUGCGGUUACUGAAAGAUAAUGAUGUUCUUGUUGUUUGCGGUGAAACAGGUUGCGGAAAGACCACACAGGUGCCGCAAUUCAUACUGGAUGACAUGAUUGAAGCAGGACGUGGUGGAUACUGUAAUAUUGUUUGUACACAGCCAAGGAGAAUAGCGGCAAUAUCUGUCGCAGAAAGAGUUGCGGAUGAGCGAUGCGAACCAUCACCAGGAUCAGAUGGUUCCUUGGUUGGUUACCAGGUUCGGCUUGAUAGUGCAAGGAGUGAGAAAACAAGACUUCUCUUUUGCACUACAGGCAUCCUUCUUAGGAAGCUCGCAGGGGACAAAAACUUGGCCAGUAUCACCCAUGUAAUAGUUGAUGAAGUACAUGAACGAUCUCUAUUGGGUGAUUUUCUACUCGUCGUUCUGAAGAACCUGAUUGAAAAGCAAGCUGCUCAGUCAACAGAAUCCACACCCAAACUGAAAGUUGUCCUCAUGUCCGCAACAGUCGAUUCAACUUUGUUCUCCAAAUACUUUGGGAAUUGCCCCGUUAUUAAAGCAGAAGGAAGAACGCAUCCUGUGUCCACGUAUUUCCUCGAAGAUGUCUAUGAAAAUCUCACUUAUUGCCUUUCUUCGGAUUCUCCAGCUUCUAUGAAUAACAUGUCCGCAACUAAAGAAAAGCUUCGAGGAAAUCCUGUGGACAACCACAGGGGAAAAAAGAACCUUGUGCUAUCUGCUUGGGGGGAUGACGCUGUACUAUCUGAGCAUGAUAUUAACCCUCAUUAUGAUCCAAGUUCUUACCAGACUUACAAUGAAAGAACUCGAAAUAAUCUGAAAAAUUUAAAUGAAGAUGUUAUUGACUAUGAUCUCCUUGAGGACUUGGUUUGUCAUGUUGAUGAAAGCUAUCCUCCAGGUGCCAUACUAGUUUUUUUACCUGGAGUUGCAGAAAUUUACGCGUUGCUCGACAAACUCUCUGCUUCGUACCAGUUUGGUGGGUUAUCGUCUGAUUGGCUUCUCCCUCUACAUUCCUCUUUGGCAUCUGGUGAUCAAAGAAAAGUGUUCUCAACUCCCCCAGAGAAUAUACGCAAGGUUAUUGUUGCCACAGAUAUUGCAGAAACCAGUAUAACCAUCGAUGAUGUGGUCUAUGUAGUCGAUUGUGGAAAGCACAAGGAAAAUCGCUACAACCCACAGAAGAAAUUGUCAAGCAUGGUAGAGGAUUGGAUAUCUAGGGCAAAUGCAAAGCAACGUCGUGGAAGAGCUGGUAGAGUAAAACCUGGAAUUUGCUUCUGCUUAUACACACGCUACAGAUUCGAAAAGAUCAUGCGUUCAUUUCAGGUACCUGAGAUGUUGCGCAUGCCGUUAGUGGAAUUAUGUCUACAAAUCAAGUCUCUUUCUCUUGGAUAUAUUAAACCGUUCCUUCUAAAGGCAAUAGAACCUCCGAGGGAAGAAGCUAUUUCAUCAGCACUUUCUAUAUUAUAUGAGGUUGGUGCUGUGGAAGGGGAUGAAGAGCUGACACCUCUUGGGCAUCAUUUAGCCAAACUACCUGUUGAUGUUUUGAUAGGAAAGAUGAUGAUAUAUGGUGGAAUGUUUGGUUGUCUCUCCCCUAUUCUUUCAAUUUCAUCAUUUUUGAGCUACAAAUCUCCGUUUCUGUAUCCAAAAGAUGAGAAAGCAAGUGUCGAAAGAGCAAAAUUGUCUUUGUUGACUGAUAAGCUGGAUGGUGCAAAUGAUACAAAUGAUUAUGAUAGGCAGUCUGACCACCUGGUAAUGGUUGUCGCUUACAACAAAUGGGCAAACAUUUUACGCGAGAAAGGAGAAAAGGCUGCACAAAAUUUUUGCAGUAAACAUUUCUUGAGCAGUUCAGUUAUGCACAUGACAAGGGAUUUGCGUAUACAAUUUGGGAAUUUGUUAGCAGAUAUUGGGUUCAUCAAUCUCCCACAAUCUUUCCAGGCUGGCAAAAUGAAAGACAAAUUUGACACUUGGUUUGCUGAUAAGACCCAACCGUUCAAUAAAUAUUCGCAACAAUCUGCCGUUAUCAAGUCAAUCUUAUGUGCAGGUUUAUAUCCUAAUGUGGCUGCAACUGAAGAUGGAAUUGUUGGAGGAGCUCUAGGAAAAAAUCUUCAGCAAGUUACUAGUACCGCAACGAAGGGAAAUCCAUUUUGGUAUGAUGGAAGAAGACAAGUUCACAUACAUCCCUCUUCUAUCAAUAAUGGUUCAAAAGUUCACCGCUACCCAUUUCUGGUCUACCUUGAAAAGGUGGAGACCAACAGAAUAUAUCUGCGAGAUACUAGCAUAAUCUCUCCCUACUCUAUUCUUCUGUUUGGCGGUCCCAUGAACAUCCAACAUCAGACUGGACUGGUUUCUAUAGAUGGUUGGUUAAAACUUUUAGCACCAGCCCAAAUUGCCGUUCUAUUCAAGGAACUUAGGUCAACACUUCAUUCUGUUCUGGAGGAGCUGAUCAGAAAACCAGAGAUCUCAGCUGUUAUUGAGAAUGAAGUUGUCAGAUCCAUCAUUCAUCUACUUCUAGAAGAAGAAAAAGCUCAGAAAUAAUUAGAGAUUGUAUACAGGGUACAGUCUACGAUGGAUUCCCAUGGGACAGGUUUUUUGAGCUUCAUCUUUCAACUACAUAUUCCUAGUAUGGGUGUUCAUGCUAGUUUUUGAUGGUCUGGUGGAAACCAUGUGAAAUAUUCAGCAGCGACAUCGUUGCAUCUUACUUGGACGGACUACAAUAUUUGCAACCUGGUCCUGACUCUCUAAAAAAUUGUUUUGGCUCAACUUCAAGAACAAAGUAAAUGAGACAACGAAAAAGUGAAACUUCAAUGAUACUACAACGCAAAGUUGCAUUCAUUGGUGCCGGAAGGCACUGGCUCCUGUGUAUAUAGGUUGGAGUUUUGUAAUUCAUGUAAUUGAUUGAUGGAUUCCUAAUAUAAAUAUUUUGAAAACGGAUCAAUAUUUUGUCAGCUUGAACACACAAAGGAAAGAUGUAAACAACAAAUUACAUCUUCCUUUAGUCAGAGGGUUAAGGAUCUUGUCCUUCAUAUACGUAGAUUGAGACUAAUCUCAUAGUAUGUUGUUUUGAUUUUCUAGCGAAA